CGGGGGAUUAGGGUUCGAUUCCGGAGAGGGAGCCUGAGAAACGGCUACCACAUCUAAGGAAGGCAGCAGGCGCGCAAAUUACCCAAUUCUAACAGUUUGAGAGAGGUAGUAACAAGAAAUAACAAUACAAGGCAGUUAAAAUGCUUUGUAAUUGGAAUGAUAGAAAUUUAAACCCUUUUUAAAGUAUCAAUUGGAGGGCAAGUCUGGUGCCAGCAGCCGCGGUAAUUCCAGCUCCAAUAGCGUAUAUUAAAAUUGUUGCAGUUAAAAAGCUCGUAGUUGAAGUUCUGCUAAAAGUAACCGGUCUGCUUUUAAUAAAGGUGGUAUCUUGGUGUGUAUUUAGCAAUGAUGUCCUUUGAAGUGUUUUUUACUUUAUUGUAAUAAAGCAUAUUCAGGACUUUUACUUUGAGAAAAUUAGAGUGUUUCUAGCAGGCUAACGCUUUGAAUACUGCAGCAUGGAAUAAUAAGAUAGGAUUUUAGUUCUACAUUAUUGGUUUUAAGAGCUAAAUUAAUGAUUGAUAGGGACAGUUGGGGGCAUUUGUAUUUAACUGUCAGAGGUGAA
rnacentral:rRNA from 1 species